ACACGUGGAUAACUUACCCUUAGGUGGAGGAUACACUCGGGAAACUGAGAAUAAUACUCCAUAGAUCUAGGAUGCUGGAAUGCAUCUAGAUUGAAAGUUGCGGCGCCUAAGGAUAGGUCUGCGGACUAUCAGGUUGUAGUCAGGGUAAUGACCUGACUAGCCUACGACGGAUAUGGGUUGUGAGAGCAAUAGCCCAGAGACGAUAUCUGAGACACGAUAUCGGGCCCUACGGGGCGCAGCAGGCGCGAAAUCUUCACAAUGUGCGAAAGCACGAUGAGGGAAUCCCAAGUGCUAGCACGUAAGUGUUAGCUGUUUCUUAGUCUAAAAAACUGAGAGAGUAAGAGCUGGGUAAGACGGGUGCCAGCCGCCGCGGUAAUACCUGCAGCUCGAGUGGUGGCCGCUAUUAUUGGGCCUAAAACGUCCGUAGCCUGUUUAGUAAAUGCCUGGGUAAAUUGUAUAGCUUAACUAUACAAAUACUGGGUAGACUGCUAAACUUGGGACCGGGAGAGGCUAGAGGUACUCCUGGGGUAGAGGUGAAAUUCUGUAAUCCUAGGGGGACCACCAGUGGCGAAGGCGUCUAGCUAGAACGGGUCUGACGGUGAGGGACGAAGCCCUGGG
rnacentral:rRNA from 1 species